rnacentral:rRNA from 1 species
UGGGGAAUAUUGCACAAUGGGCGCAAGCCUGAUGCAGCCAUGCCGCGUGUAUGAAGAAGGCCUUCGGGUUGUAAAGUACUUUCAGCGGGGAGGAAGGUGGUAAGGUUAAUAACCUUAUCAAUUGACGUUACCGACAGAAGAAGCACCGGCUAACUCCGUGCCAGCAGCCGCGGUAAUACGGAGGGUGCAAGCGUUAAUCGGAAUUACUGGGCGUAAAGCGCACGCAGGCGGUUGAUUGAGUCAGAUGUGAAAUCCCCGGGCUUAACCCGGGAAUUGCAUCUGAUACUGGUCAGCUAGAGUCGUGUAGAGGGGGGUAGAAUUCCAUGUGUAGCGGUGAAAUGCGUAGAGAUGUGGAGGAAUACCGGUGGCGAAGGCGGCCCCCUGGACAAAGACUGACGCUCAGGUGCGAAAGCGUGGGGAGCAAACAGG